AAUUUUGGACAAUGGGGGAAACCCUGAUCCAGCCAUCCCGCGUGUAUGAUGAAGGCCGUCGGGUUGUAAAGUAAUUUUUUCUGAGAAGAAAAGGUAUUUCCUAAUACGAGAUACUGCUGACGGUCUCUGCUGAUUAAGCCCCGGCCAAUUACGUGCCAGCAGCAGAGGUAAUACGGAGGGUGCAAGCGUUAAUUGGAAUUACUGGGCGUAAUGCAUGUGUAGGAGGUUCGGAAAGAAAGAUGUGAAAUCCCAGGGCUCAACAUUGGAACUGCAUUUUUAACUGCCGGGCUAGAGUAGGUCAGAGGGGGGUAGAAUUCCACGUGUAGCAGUGAAAUGCGUAGAUAUGUGGAGGAAUACCGAUGGCGAAGGCAGCCCCCUGGGAUAAUACUGACGCUGAUGCACGAAAGCUAGGGGAGCAAACA
rnacentral:rRNA from 1 species